GUGUAUUGAGUUUGUUCAAUGGUUCCAUUUUCAUUAUGACAACUGAUAAUCUUAUACAUUACAACUAAAUGUUGCAGGGACAUAUAACCAUUACAUCCUAAAGGAUAUUCUAGGUGAUGGAACACUCUACAGUUGAAUGGUACAAAUGUGAGAACAGAGAGAUUUUAGCGGUAGGCUAAGCUAAAUGCAAGAAGAUCAAAGUGGUUGAUGAGUUUGUUUAUUAGCUGAUCUAGACCAAGACUGAACAAAUGAACAGGGGACAAGAUGAUUUCUAUUGAAGAAAGAAGACAUUCUAUCAAGGUUUCUGCAUAUCAACAACACACAUCCAAAGUCACAGAUGUUGAGGAAUUUGCAAACAGUGAGUGAAGAAAGCCAAGAAAAGAUACAGUAUCUUCAUGCAGAUUUUAACGAAACUCUCAAGACUCUUUCAUGCAGUUCCAGUGGUAUGCAAUCUCAAAUCUUUAUCAAUCUCUCAUACUUUAACUUAACUGGGCCUUUAACUAAUCAACAUGGGUACUAGUAGUUAUUGGAGUCAGAAGUUCAAAAUGGUACACAUUAAUUGGGUCAACCCAAAAGCUCUUUCUGUCUAAAUUUCUAAAAAAAAUAUUGAUAAUUAACGUGUCAACUAAAGAAAUAUUAUUUCAAUGAUAGUCUAAUUUUGUUUACCAAAAUGAUUUUAUGGGUUUUAUGUUUCUAAAAAACACAUUGGGUAACUUUACAUCUUAAAAAGGAAAUAAAAAAGUGAAGUAAUACAGAUGUUGCAACUUUGCGUAUAUGCUCUUGUGUACUAGCAUAAGAUAAUACCAUCAUAUGCAAAAUUUAUAUGCUUCGCUGAUGAUGAUGAUGCAUGAUGUAUCUGGUGGGUUAUGUUGUGAAUGAAGGGGAUAUUAUUGCAGCUUAUCAGAAAAAUGGUUUCAUCAAAUUGUUGUUUUCAUCCAGAAAGCUGAUCCCUUUAAGUUUAAGGCUUCUAUGAAAGCACAAGCAGGACAAAGAAUUUGUUUGGGCCUGAGAAUUCGCUUAUAGGCAGAUGAAGAUCUUUCCUUCCAUUUUGCUAAGUUGCUAUAUUUUCAAGCUGAACAAUGAAAACAAAACUGCAAAGCACAGAAUGACGCUUAAUCUUCACACAGAUGGUGAUACCGAGUUGAUCAUGAUUUAGCAGACCUUCAUAUAUGGAGCAAA